UAAUCCGAAAAACAAUAUCUCCUCGUCUCCUCAUCCUCCUCUUCCACUUCUCAACUCUCUCCAUGAACCACUGAGAGAGUCUGGGACCCACUCAAAAUCUCUCAUGGCGAAGACUCUCGUCUCAUCCACACCGUUCGUCGGCACAUCUCUACCGUCCAUCUCCCGCCGUGGGGCCUACACCCUCCCCUACCGUAGUGGCAAUGGACUCGUCUCCACCAGAAUCAGGUUCAGCCUCCACCACGUCGUUCCUCCGAUCAAUCCCUUCGACUCCGGCACCGACGUCGCCUCACUUUUGAGCCGAGCUGAGGGCCUCCUCUACACGCUAGCCGAUGCUGCCGUCGCCGUCGACCCGGCCGCCUCGGGCUCCGCAGACGCCGCGGCUCAAAAGAAUGGCGGCUGGUUCGGCUUCAUCUCCGAAGCCAUGGAGUUCGUACUCAAGAUUUUGAAAGAUGGACUUGCGACUGUCCACGUGCCAUAUGCGUACGGCUUCGCAAUUAUUUUGCUUACAGUACUCGUUAAACUUGCCACAUUGCCUCUCACAAAGCAGCAGGUGGAAUCGACGUUGGCUAUGCAAAACCUUCAACCAAAACUUAAAGCUAUACAAGAAAGAUAUAAGGGCAAUCAGGAAAGAAUACAACUUGAGACAUCACGGCUGUAUCGGCAGGCUGGGGUUAACCCAUUGGCAGGUUGUUUACCAACUUUGGCCACGAUACCAGUCUGGAUAGGUCUAUACCAAGCUCUUUCAAAUGUGGCAAAUGAGGGGUUGUUGACAGAAGGUUUCUUUUGGAUUCCCUCUUUGGGUGGGCCAACAACAAUUGCUGCUCGACAAAGUGGAUCUGGAAUUUCUUGGCUGUUUCCAUUUGUGGAUGGCCAGCCACCAUUGGGCUGGCAUGACACUGCAGCAUAUCUUGUUUUACCUGUACUCCUCGUUGCUUCUCAGUAUGUUUCAAUGGAGAUCAUGAAGCCUCCACAGACUGAUGAUCCAGCUCAAAAGAACACACUUCUUGUAUUCAAGUUUCUUCCCCUCAUGAUUGGUUACUUUUCCUUGUCCGUUCCUUCAGGAUUAUCAAUUUACUGGUUGACAAACAAUGUUCUCAGCACAGCACAACAAGUAUGGCUACGCAGAUUAGGAGGUGCAAAGCCUGUUGUGAGUGAGAAUGCAAGUGGAAUCAUUACAGCAGGACGUGCAAAGCGAUCAGAUUCUCAGCCAGUAGAAGCUGGCAGUAGAUUCAGGAAGUUGAGAGAAGAAGAGAAAAAGAACAAGCUGAGCAAGGCAUUAUCAAAUGAAGAGGUUCAGACACUGGCUUCUACAUCUGAUUCUGAAGCCGGUUCAGAUGAAGAAACCAAGGACAAGGGUGAGGAGAUUCUAGAGGCGUAUGCUUCUACUGUUGGCAAAGAGCUUCCAGAUGAUCCUCGGCCAAGGAGAAGCAAGCGAUCUAAACGGAAGCGUGCUGUAUAAAUUGACUAUAUACUGAUUAAGUUUGUAGUUCACGGUGAGUCCUGUAUAUCUCAUCCAAGUGUAUUGUAGUUAAUAUAUCGCCAGCUUUAUGCUGGCUCAUUCAUUUUGAGGUAUAAUGCAAAUCAUGCUAAUUAGUUCUCACCUGCUUAGACUCUUUCAUUCCUCUGGGUGCUAGAAGUGUACUUUCUUGUCAACUUCGUUGCAUGAACUACUAAGUAGAUAAAAGAUGCGAAAGAAAAAUGGAAAACAUAGACAUGGAGCCAUAACAUGCUACUAAGGUUUUGCGUAAUCGCAUUUUUUCAUCUUCUGGAAGACACAGAAAAGUUGUAAGUGUGUUUGUGGUGAAUCUUAUAUUCAAAGAUCAGAACUCUAUUGUAAUUCCACAAUCAUACAAAUUAAUCUGGAAAUAGGUUCUCUAAAUUAAUGCGGCUACGAAACAAAUGCAGCUGGUUUUUACAAAUCUAGAAGCUCUAGGCAGGCAGGUCCAGUGUUUUCAUAUUGUCCUUUUUUCACUCUUUUGCAACUUGCCCGACCCUUUAGAAGAGUGGUCGGGUAAAUGAAAUAUGUGAAACUUUUUCUUUUGACCUUUUAUCACAACUGUAAAGGGAAGUUAGAAACUCUUCUCAGAGCAUUGUACUUUUGCCUUAAGUUUUCGCUUACAAGGUGUCUUCUUUUUUCUUGUAAUUCCAGGAUUAGUAUUUACGUUAAACAGUUUUACUGAAGAUUUUGAUUAUGGAACAACUACACUAACAAAUUUGCUCAUGCACAAAAGCUUCUAGAAUUCAAAUGUUCAAAAUUCCAAUUUUGUACACUCACAUUCCUCAGAGGAGAGGUUUUUUUGACCUACAUGAAUAACACUGACCUUCCUUUCUAGCCUCCAACAAAUAUAAUGAUCUGAUUAGUUCUACAUACUAAGUUAAGAACAAGUACAUCAAAUGUUCAUUGCUUUGAUGGUGGGCGAUGAUUCCCUACUGGGUUGGGACCUGAUGGAGUUUUAUGGAUCUUCCUUCCACUGACCUGUUUUUCAUUGUUGAACAAAGAUGCAAAGAGUCAAGGUGAAAUCAUCUGACAUUAAAUACAUGAAUGCUGGUUAAGCUCUAUACACACCCAAGUAGGUAAAACAUAUCUGGUUCCGGACCCCGACCCAGAGCCAGGCUGUGCAGAAUUGUGCUUGAACUGAACUGUGGCCAGGAACAAAGAAAGCUAACAUUUAUUAAAUAUUGAAGGAAACAAGUUAUCAUUUCAUCCAUGAUAAACCUGUUAAGUACAUGACAACCAUGCUGUCGGCAACUCGAACUGGGAAAUUGGGACCCACCAUAUGCAUGUUGAUGAACAUUGCUGAAUUGCUUACAGAAUGAAAUAAUGAAAUGCUCUGAUAAUUCCA